GCUAAGGUCAAUAACAGGAGUGGGUUAUAGUGAGGACCAGGGCUAAGGUCAAUAACAGGAGUGGGUUAGUGAGGACCACGGCUAAGGUCAAUAACAGGAGUGGGUUAGUGAGGACCACGGCUAAGGUCAAUAACAGGAGUGGGUUAGUGAGGACCACGGCUAAGGUCAAUAACAGGAGUGGGUUAGUGAGGACCACGGCUAAGGUCAAUAACAGGAGUGGGUUAGUGAGGACCACGGCUAAGGUCAAUAACAGGAGUGGGUUAGUGAGGACCACGGCUAAGGUCAAUAACAGGAGUGGGUUAGUGAGGACCAGGGCUAAGGUCAAUAACAGGAGUGGGUUAGUGAGGACCAGGGCUAAGGUCAAUAACAGGAGUGGGUUAGUGAGGACCAGGGCUAAGGUCAAUAACAGGAGUGGGUUAGUGAGGACCAGGGCUAAGGUCAAUAACAGGAGUGGGUUAGUGAGGACCAGGGCUAAGGUCAAUAACAGGAGUGGGUUAGUGAGGACCACGGCUAAGGUCAAUAACAGGAGUGGGUUAGUGAGGACCACGGCUAAGGUCAAUAACAGGAGUGGGUUAGUGAGGACCACGGCUAAGGUCAAUAACAGGAGUGGGUUAGUGAGGACCAGGUGAAGAGACCU